UUUGCUCCCUGUGACUCAGGAGAAGUCAAAGCCCCGCUGUCACUGCUACACCAGAGGAGGUAUUACAUUGCCUGAUAGUGGUGAUCCAGUGGAACUACAACACAAAGCUUACACACGGAGCGUGAAGAUGAAGGGGAGAGCUGAGGUGCACCAACACAAGCUCAUCAGUGGUGGCGAGUUUGUCGGCCACAGCGCUGAUCACUUCUCUUCCCGUCCCUGCCACGGCGACCCGGAUAGUGGUGUAUGUGUGAUCACCGCAGUACACCUUCAACAGGACUAGACACACACACACAAAUAUAACAUAGUGUUUGUAAUGAAUAAAAAUGUCCAAGAUGAA